rnacentral:ncRNA from 1 species
GGGGAUAACAGGCUGAUACCGCCCAAGAGUUCAUAUCGACGGCGGUGUUUGGCACCUCGAUGUCGGCUCAUCACAUCCUGGGGCUGAAGCCGGUCCCAAGGGUAUGGCUGUUCGCCAUUUAAAGUGGUACGCGAGCUGGGUUCAGAACGUCGUGAGACAGUUCGGUCCCUAUCUGCCGUGGGCGUUGGAGAUUUGAGGAGAGUUGUUCCUAGUACGAGAGGACCGGAAUGAACGAACCUCUGGUGUUCGGGUUGUCACGCCAGUGGCAUUGCCCGGUAGCUAUGUUCGGACAGGAUAACCGCUGAAAGCAUCUAAGCGGGAAGCCCCCUCCAAGAUUAGAUCUCCCUGGGACCUUGAGUCCCCUGAAGGGCCGUUCAAGACCAGGACGUUGAUAGGCUGGGUGUGUAAGCGUUGUGAGGCGUUGAGCUAACCAGUACUAAUUGCCCGUGAGGCUUGACCAU